GCGAUCUUACUUGAACAAUAUCUGUUCUAUAGACUCGCACCUCAUUAUCCUUUAGCACAAAAAAAAAAACUAUGGGAGAAAAUACUCAGAACUUGUGCUUUGACAAGAA
rnacentral:snoRNA from 1 species